rnacentral:tRNA from 1 species
AGGGGUAUAGCUCUGUGGUAGAGCAUGUACUUGGUGUGUAUGAGGUCCUGAGUUCAAUUCCCAGUGCCUCUG